rnacentral:rRNA from 1 species
UACAGAGACUGCAAGCGUUAUUCGGAUUCACUGGGCGUAAAGGGCGCGUAGGUGGCGAUCCAAGUCCAUGGUGAAAGCUCGAUGCUCAACAUCGAGUCGGCCACGGAUACUGGGUUGCUUGAGCACUGUAGGGGCAGAUGGAAUUCCGGGUGUAGCGGUGGAAUGCGUAGAGAUCCGGAAGAACACCGGUGGCGAAGGCGGUCUGCUGGGCAGUUGCUGACACUGAGGCGCGACAGCGUAGGGAGCAAACAGG